GGGAUGAGCUGUGGAUAGGGGUGAAAGGCUAAACAAACUUGGAAAUAGCUGGUUCUCUCCGAAAACUAUUUAGGUAGUGCCUCGUGUCUCACCUUCGGGGGUAGAGCACUGUCAUGGUUGGGGGGUCUAUUGCAGAUUACCCCGCCAUAGCAAACUCCGAAUACCGAAGAGUGCAAUCACGGGAGACAGACAUCGGGUGCUAACGUCCGGUGUCAAGAGGGAAACAACCCAGACCGCCAGCUAAGGUCCCCAAAUAUAGCUAAGUGGGAAACGAAGUGGGAAGGCUAAAACAGUCAGGAGGUUGGCUUAGAAGCAGCCACCCUUUAAAGAAAGCGUAAUAGCUCA
rnacentral:rRNA from 1 species